UAGGGAAUCUUCGGCAAUGGACGAAAGUCUGACCGAGCAACGCCGCGUGAGUGAAGAAGGUUUUCGGAUCGUANAACUCUGUUGUUAGAGAAGAACAAGGACGUUAGUAACUGAACGUCCCCUGACGGUAUCUAACCAGAAAGCCACGGCUAACUACGUGCCAGCAGCCGCGGUAAUACGUAGGUGGCAAGCGUUGUCCGGAUUUAUUGGGCGUAAAGCGAGCGCAGGCGGUUUCUUAAGUCUGAUGUGAAAGCCCCCGGCUCACCCCGGGGGGGGGUCCUUGGAAAAUGGGGGACUUGAGUGCAGAAGAGGGGAGUGGAAUUCCAUGUGUAGCGGUGAAAUGCGUAGAAAUAAGGAGGAACACCCAGUGGCGAAGGCGGCUCUCUGGUCUGUAACUGUCGCUGCGGCUAGAAAAAGUGGGGGGGGCAAACAGGAUAAGAUACCCUGGUAGUUCCACGCCGUAAACGAUGAGUGCUAAGUGUUGGAGGGUUUCCGCCCUUCAGUGCUGCAGCAAACGCAUUAAGCACUCCGCCUGGGGAGUACGACCGCAAGGUUG
rnacentral:rRNA from 1 species